rnacentral:rRNA from 1 species
UACGAAGGGGGCGAGCGUUGUUCGGAUUUACUGGGCGUAAAGGGCGCGCAGGCGGCUUUGUUUGUCAGGCGUGAAAGCCCCGGGCUUAACCUGGGAACUGCGUUUGAUACGGCAGGGCUAGAGUUCGGGAGAGGAGAGUGGAAUUCCCAGUGUAGAGGUGAAAUUCGUAGAUAUUGGGAAGAACGCCGGUGGCGAAGGCGGCUCUCUGGACCGAUACUGACGCUGAGGCGCGAAAGCGUGGGGAGCAAACAGG